GGACAGUGAAUGAGAAACUCACCAGGGAGAGAGGAAAGGAGGAAGAGGUAUGUUUGGUCUGAGGGACAAGAUGGCUAAACCACACGGAAGAUAAUAGAUGCUCAGUUUGUUGGAGCCAAAGAAGCCAUGAGUUCUCAGAGUUUGUCAUGGGUGACGAUGUUCAAGAUGCUGGAAUUUGUUCUUAUCUGAGGCAUGGGAUCGAUCCUCCUCAGUCCUCACCAAUCUUCAUCUGGCUUUUAUUUUUGUCAUAAAUCUCAAAUUAAGAUGCCCUCGCAUGUGCUCACAAAUGGAUAUCUGGUGUGAGUGGACAUGACUGGACCUUUUGGAGUAAGAUUCUGGCAUCCACAGGGGGAAAAAAACAGCACUGAGCAACUGUAGUAGAACGAGGGAAGGAAGCCUCUGCGUCCCCAGAAGGUCAAGAAAUUUCACGCAGAUACGGGAGAGCAUGAACCGGAGGGUGGAAGCAUCGACAACUGAAUUUCAAAGGCCUCCUGGCAAGUACACGGAAAGCGAUGCUCAGCAGAAUGACCCUAAUGCUUCCGACUUAAAUGUCUGAAGUACUACAGGAGGAGACGCUUCUAGUUCCAGCACACACAACUGACUGUGCCAGUGGGUCCUGCCGAUUGCAUUCUAAGAAACUUUCAUCACAGGGUCUGACUCUCAGGGACGCACCCAACCACAUAGUACGAUGUGGAAAGCAAGAUAAAAAAAAAAAAAAAGACUAAUUUCAGAACCAGAAUAAGGAUUUGAUGUGUACUAAGCAGGAAUGUUGGUCCUCAAGAGUCAUUCCCAAAGACUUCAUUAAGCUGUUGGAUUAGGGUUUUCUGACUUUCUGCCUCCAAAGUGAUUUGGUAGACAGGGGUCACAGAAGCCUCUUCUCACCUCAUUUCAUCCCCAAGUUCUGCCACCCACCCAGAGACUUUGCUGGAAGUUCGUGCUAUUUUUGUCCUAUCUGGUUAAUGCCAAAGAACAAUGCUGUGGUCCCACCACUGAAGCUCUCAAGAGCAUCUGCUAAGUUACUUUUAUAUUCUUCAUUUCCUGUUAUUUCCUGUAAUGCCUUGCAACUUCCCAAGGUCAUCCAAUUUGGAAUUCCUGACAUGUUUUCUGAUAUUUGCCCAUUCCCUGAACAGGAGACGUUUGGCUCCUGUCUCUUAAAAGCAAACUGAUGGCUGAUUGCUGAUUUAAUAUGCCUCCCAACUCCUCACCUUCCCCAGGGAAAUCCGGAGUUAUCAAUGGGGAUUGUUCCAUCACGUCUCAUCAAUAGCUUGCCACUACACAUUUUAAAAAGGAGCAUUCUGGACAUUUUAACAUCUGUAAACAUGUGAAACAAGCUCUUAAGAAUUGGAUUCCUGCAUAUCAGCUCGUGAUGCAAGCUUAGGAAAUUUGUUCAAAAUACUUGAGGUCGGAAUUAGAUUAUGCUUUUUUCCUGUUACCCUUUUACGCCCUUCGUUCCAAGAGUCUGGUGUUCCUUUCGAUACAAACAUUUUAUCAAUCAUUUGCCAACUUCACAUGGCAGCCAUUGGUCGUGGGUGUUGGAUAAUAUUAGAAGAAUCUAAGAAGAGCUGAAUUCCCUUUGCUCCUUAAACAUGGCUUCUUCCACAGGGUUCUCAAGGGAAUAAGACACACGAUAAACUAGCUAUCAUGUUGUUACAAAUCGUCCCAGGGCUCCAUUUCUCCAUAAGGAAGCACUCUGGAAAGACUCAGAAGCCGCCCCUCCGCACCCCAGCUGGAGGCAUCUGAAUGGGGAAGAGGAGAGAGUCAGAGGACAGGGUGGCGAGGUCUGUUCAAGGACUCAGGCUCUGCUCAACUGACCCAGCUACCUGCAAGAAUAAAGGAAACAGAGGACCAACUUGGUGUGGUGGAUUAGGUUAGAGCAGACCAGGAGAAGUGAAGAUUGGGACUUAAUCAUGGACUGUCAAGUUGUGGUUGGAGUGAGCUCAGAUGCAAGGUGAAGAGAAAAUUCAAGUCUGGCAGGUAGAACAAAGUCUCUGGGGAAAGUGACAGUAGAUAACAGUGUUAGCUAUAGAAAAUUGUCGGUAAGACAUAGAGGAGGUUACACGAUGCACAAAAGUGUGCCACGAAGUGGAUUAGAGCCCAGCGAUAGGGAUCCAUGAGCAGACGAUAUUUGAAGAUUGAGGUGAUCAGACGCUGAAAUCCAUAAAGUGGAGUAUCAAGUUCCAAUUCCAUUCUUAAAGUAUCAGAACAGGACUCUGAUCCCAGAGAGAGUUCCAUCAAGCCCUUUACUGGUUCUUGGUCAUCCUCUAUUCCGUUCCCCUCAAAAAUGAUUCCAAAAGUCACUGCUCAUUUCCAUUUGCAAAUCAUAGAAGACUUCCUGCCUCUUAUUUUAUUGAGAAAUUUCAAGUCAAGGUUCUUUCUUUAUUGGUUCCCUUCCUGCAGCCAAAAGAAGCAUGCAAAUCUCCCUGAUACUAACCAAAAACAAUAAAACUUUCCUUUACAUUGUAAAACCACUAGGAACUGUCCAACAUCUUUACUCCACACAGAAGUCAGAACCCAGCAUUUCCCUUCUUCAUUCUAAUUUACUCUGAGACGAAGCUCAUUUCCUGAAGCUUGAUAUAACUCCCAGUGAGGUCACCAACGACAUCCUAUUUUACUACAAAAGCUGUCUGAGUCCUUUCAUCUGGGGUCUGUCUCUUAUACCCAACAGGACACCAUGGUCCGUACUAUCUUUACCAAGCUCUUUCAGCCUUUGGCUUUCAUUGUAUCCCUCCACCCUGGUGCCCUUCCUUCUGAAAAACUCCUUCAUGCUUUGCUUUUGGAUCACUGCUCUUUUCACUCCACAAGUCCCAUCUGAAUGAUCUGGUACAUGAUGGAAACUGAGACUUAUAUGCUUAUCAUGGCCACCUAGAACUCCCAGGCCAGAAGCUUCUGAUUCCUAGAACAAUCUGACUUCUCCACCUGGAUAUCCCCAGGCACAGCACCCUUAAUUGUCUACCACAUAAGAGCAGCAUCUUCUCUAAAUAUGUUUCUCAUGCACAUUUGCUCUCAUUGGUUAGCAGGACCAUCCAGUCAAGCCCAUACUAGAAAGCAAAGCGUCAUCCAUGGUAGCUUUCUUUCAGUCCUCCUCCCGUUCAGUCGGACAUCACACCUAUCUGGCUGACUUCUGUGAUGUUUCUCUCUAUCUCUAUCUCCCUUCCCCUAUGCUAGUUCACACUAUCAUUAGCUUUCUUCACGUUACUACAGUAGGCUCCUAUUUGGUCCCCCCUCUUCUCUUUAACCCUCCUUGAAACUUUCUUUCACGGGGCUACCAGAGUACUCUAUCUACAAACGCAAAAUUGACUGUGUCAUGGGCUGAAACCCUUUGGUGGUUUCUCCAUUGUCUUGAAUCUGAAGUGAAACUUGUCUCAUAUUACAUUCAAGACGGUCCAGGAGUUGGUCCCUGCCUUCUCGCCUUUCUAAUUCCCUCUUCUUGCAUUUCCAAAAAUGCCAGAUAGCAUGUAUUGCAUAAGCACACUACCCUCUCUUCCCUCUCUUUCCUUUUGGUGAUGUUAAGCCUUCUUCAUGGAAUACAUGUUUCCAUGUUCCCUGACUAAUCCCUAUUCCUCUUCAAAAGUCUUUUUCAAGCUAGCCUCUUCCAACAUGAUUUACCCGACUGCCUCUUUCUGCCCUGAUAGUCCGGGUGACCUCACCCAGAGCUCCCUGAUAACCAUCCAACUUUUGACAUUGCAUUUGCUCCUGUCUCCCUAGAGGCCUCACACCUCUAGGUGCAUCCUCAACCCCUCGCCCAGUACUUGGCACAUCCAAUGCCUCAUUAACAUCUUUGUUGAUUAGUGGAAUCAACUGUCUGAGGGGCUUUCCCUUACUUUCCACUACAGUGUCAGGACAGAGAAUGUCUUCUAUGCCUUAGAGAAACUAACAAAAAGUGAAUGUUUUCAGGGACUCGGUCCCAGAUCAGCACCUAGAUAUGCACAGGACAUGACCUCACAAGUGCCAUAACAGCCAAGGCAAGAAAGAAGAAUUAUGCCUCAGGAAGCAGCUGCUCCAGGCAGCGACAUGCAUGUGGUUGCUGCCAGGGCUAAGGUACAUGGAAGUCAGGAGGGCUGAGGAAAGCCCACAAUAACCUAGAAGUGAAAACGCACCUGGAUCAAAGGCUGCACUUCCCAACCUUCCUUGCAAAAAGGCCUGGUCAUGUGACUAAAUUCUGGUCAGCAGGAUUUUAGUGGAAACUGUGUGUUAAAUUUAUGUAAAGUGUCCUGAAAUGGAGUGUGUGCUCUCCCCUUUUCCUCCUUUCUUCUGGCUGCAAUGCGGACAUGUUGACCGGAACUGGGGCCACCAUCUUGGAUCAUAAACUAACCAUGAAUCCAGGCCACUGAAGGAAGAGCAAGGAGACAGAAAGUAAAGGUGCCCAGGACUCUCAUCUAGUCCCAAAGAUGCUCCAAACGCUCUUCUGUACCCCUUCUGAACCUGAUGCUUUACGGAAAAUGGAUCUUCCUCCUCGCUCCACUUUCCUCACCCCAGACUCAACUCAAAUUCAAAUAUCCUCACAUUCACUCAGGCCAAGCGAGCAGUCACUUGCAAAGCAAGCUCAUACGUGGAUGCCCUUUGUGGUCCUGGUGGCUUCAUACAUUCCCUGGAGAGUGCCACACUCCCGGAGCUCUUUGUCACUCAUUCUGUUUCCUUCUAGGGUUGGUUGAUGAUCUUAGUAAAAGGCCAUAUGCUAAGGAACUUAGUAAUUCCCUUAAGAAGAAUCAAGAAUUGACAAAAGACUACAACACAGGAAGCUUGGUACUUUUAAAGUUUAAUUCCUGGUGAAUAAAGAUGAAAGUGUAGAUGAAGACAACAAGUUAGUUUUUCAGCGUCACCUUGAGUUUAUCACCUCAAAGUACUUUUGACUAAAGUAAUUGCAUAUUGUGCUCUGUUCAGGCAAAGUGGCAGUUGUCUGUUCUUGCAUGAGCAUUCAUGGAUGGUAGAAAGCGGAGCAGAGCGGCCUCCUGAUCAUUCCUAUUCAGAGAGAGAGACAUGUGACAUGGGUCAUUCAAAGUCAAAUUGUACUUAAGGAUACACACUAUGAUUGGGGGUACAGGGAGGUUUGUUUUAUGAUCACAGAAUGUUAGGGUCAGAAGAGGUUUUUCAGAGUGUAUUUCUCUUUGACUGACAGCAAAAUUAGUUUGCCAUCUCUGAGCACCCCUGCCAGCUCACGGAAGAAGGAGGUAGCUCUGAUGAUUAUUAUGUGUUAAGGGUUGAGGAAAGGGAUUAAACACCUUGAAAGCAAAUGGAGAAGAGCUGGUCCUGGGUGUCCUCCAGAACCUGCUUCCUGUGCCCUUCAGGAAUUGGCAAAAUUGAACCAAUUUUUGAUGGCUGAGGACCCUACUGGUAUUCCCACAGUCGUUCGUUGCUUGGGAUACACCCACCCUAGAUGAAGACCGGACUUACAAGAUGGUAUGUUAUACCCAUCCUGCCAGAGAAAUGCAGGAAUCACAAGCUAACGCGCAACGUCGGGUAAGGCCUCUUCAUGAAUAUUAGGCAACAGUAAGAUGCCCUUUCGAUUCUUGCCCUACUGGGUUCCUCAAUCUCUGUAUGUCCACAGCCUUUUAUCCGUUUGGCUAUUGUGACCUCAACAUCAUAUAAUACCUCAAAGACCUCUGGCAACUCAUUUCCCCUCUGUCUCAACUUCAAUUGCCGACAUGUACUUGCUGUGACACUCUUUGAAAGGCUGGUCCCAACAUGCAGGUUUUUGUUUUUAAUUCAAACAUUCCCACGUAUCACACAGUACUAGAUUUUUUUCCCCCAUGACCCACACUUUGAUUGGGACUCCGUGUUUAUAAUAAAGUUGUUAUUUGGGGAGCAUAUUGAAAAUGGGCCCAAAGCACCAAACCUUCAAAGUUUAAGUUCAACCCGCUGAUCAUAAGACAGGGGCUCAGUCUGUUCUUGGACCUUCUUGGUGUCGAGCAGAGAUGUGGGUUUUGAAAGAUGGUGCUCUGACUUCUCGUCAGCUCGGGCUCUGGCCUACAGUGGGAGUAGCUGGAAACCUGACAGCCAUUGCAGGUUCUGGGGUGGAUGCCUGGCUGUUGUGAAAACCAAUCAGAGCAAGAGAUUCUUUUGUCAUGUAUCACUUUUCUAUCAGAUGAACAUGUAAGUAAUCUUUUCCCUUUAUAUCAUGUAUCUCAAAAUAUGUUCACACUCAGUAUCCCUUUUCCUUCUGCUGCCAUGAGUAGGCAUGAAGAGGGUGAAACAUGAAGAGCUUUCUUGGGUGCCAAUAGCACGAUGCCCCCCUCUAACCUCCAAGUCCUCACAACUUCUUUACCACCAUCUGCCAGGCAGCCAUUGGGACAAAUCUCAUCAGCCACCAUUCAGAAGCUAGGAUCCUCUCCAAGAUGCUCCCUCAUUUUCCAGAUUCUUACCCACAUACCACACUGUAUGUCCUCCAUAUGGCUUCAUCUCCCACUCCCUCCUACAAAGCAAAGCCUACCCAUGGGACACCCUGGAACUUAUUUCCCUUGGCCUCUUACCCUCUCUGAAUCCUGGAUGCAUUCAAGGGCACUGCUUGCCGUGUAGCUGUCUCAGGUGGUGGCUGUUCUAGCUCACUCAGCCCUUCAUACUGGUGGGCCUGGAGUGAGGGGGCAGAUGUUGUCCUUGUUCCCAUUAUCCCUCUUCCAGACCAUCCUCUUACUUCUUCCCUCCACCGCUCCUCCCAUUUGUAAGACUCCUACCAUCAGACUCAAUCACUUGCUACCCCUUCCCUUUUGCAGUCGUCUAUAAACCCCAGAGUCGCUCACCCUUGGUUCUACAAGAGUUAAGCUUCUAGAUCGCUGUCAUUCUCCAAUGCCACAUUUAUCAUGAUAGUUGAAUUUUUUUUACCCACUUAGAUAAUUCUUCUAAGCCCUAGGCUCUGAGGUCCUUGGUCUUUUCUCAAAUGACUAUGUCUUACUACACCUCGUCCACAAAUCUUGUGGUCUUAGCCUCAUCACAUGGUCAUGGCCACUCACUGCACAAUCUCAUGUGCCCAACUCAGGUACCUCUUUGGUGACCACAUUCUCUUAACUUUGAGCUCACUCCCUUGAGUAUCUCAGUUUCAACCAUUCUUCAAUUCUAUUGGGACUGCAGUAGGUUCCAAUUGCUGCUGUAACAAAUCACCACACAUUUAGUGGCUUCAAACAACACAAAUGUAUUACUUUACAGUUCUGGGGCAUGGAAAUCAGAAAUCAGUUUCACUGAGUUAAAGUCACAGUGUCAUCAGAACUUGUUCCUUUCAGAGGCUCUAUGUCCAUUUCUAUGACCUUUUCAGUGGCUAGUGGCCACCAGUGUUUCUUGGCUUGUGGCCUUUUCCUCCAUCUUUAAAGCACAUCCUUCCAAUCUCUGCCUCUGACAUCAUUACAUUGCCUUCCUCUCUGGUACUGACCUGCUUCCUUCUUAUAAGGACUCUGUGAUUACAUUGUGUCCACCAGGAUAAUCUCUUCGUCUCAAGAUACUUAACCAUAUCGACAAAGUCCCUUUUGCCAUAGAAGGUAACAUUCACAAGUUCCUGAGGUUAGGACAAGGACAUCGUUGGUGGGUGGGCAUUAUUCAGCCUACCCCAGGGACCUAUAAUUCAAUGGUCCUACCUCCUUUUACUCAUUCUGCUUCCCUAUACGUUCUUACCAUGCUUAGAUUCCAUGGCAAACAUCACGACCAAUCCCCUGUAUAUAUCCUGGACUCCCUUGUGUCUCUCUUUCUCUCAUUGUAGUUAUCUGAAAACUCCCAAUUUGGCUAAAGGCAACUCUCUGAUGUUUUAAAGCCUGAACCUGAUGAUUUUAAAUUCCUAGUCACUAGUCUCAGAAGACCAAAGCCAGCCCACUGUAUUCCCCUGGUCUGUUCACUUACCCUCACUCCUAGAUGAUUACAUUCCCGUCUUUCCCUUUUUGACUGAUAUCCUUGCUUCUUAUUUCACUGAGAAAUGGAAGCAAUUAGGAGUCUCCUACCAGUCAGCGAGUAGCUGGCCUCUCUCUGUGUGCAUAGAGGACACUUUUCCUUCCCUCCAGUACUAUGGAAAGAUGCCAUUGUUCUUGUGGAAGACCAAACCCACUCCUCCUACUAUCUCCUGGGUCCCACCCCUCUCUCCAGGACAUUGCACUAGGACUAUUCUCUCUCUGGAAUACAAUUUUGUUUCUCCUGUGCAAUUUUGCCCUUCCUGUCAGUAUUCAAUACUAUAAGAUUUCUCACCUUAAAACAAAACAGUACUGUUUUGACCCCCUUCUCUAUACAUCACCAUUUCUCUGUUCUCUCUCUAGCAAAACCCAUUGAAAGAUUUGUCUACACCAGCUUUCUCCUCUUUCUCUCCUUUAGGGCUGCCCCUGUCACCGAUGGUGUGAGUUUUAAAGAGCUUUGUCAAAACAAUACAAAUAAAUUAUCUCACAUUUUCUGUAGGUCAGAAAUUCAGGCACAGCAUGGCUGGGUUUUCUACUCAGAGGAUCAUUGGGAUGAAAUCCAGGUGUUGGCCAGGACUGCAGUCUCAUCUGGGAUUAGAGUCCUCUCCCAAGGUCACUGACUGUUAGCAGAAUUCAGAUUUUUGGUGUCACAGGACCGAGAUCCCGUUCUGCUUCUAGUCGUUGUAUGAGGACAUCUCUCGGCUCAUAGAGGCACCCACAGUUUCUUCCUUGUGGCCACCAUGGGAAGGCAAGUUGGAGUGUGUGUCUCUGAUUUCUUCUUUUCCAAUCCUUGGGAGAAAUUCUACUUUAAAGGCCUCAAGUGAUUCAGCAGGGUCCACCCAAAUAAUCUCCCUGAAGGCCAACUGAUGUGACAACUUACUUACAUCUGCAAUUUCACAGCAAUACCUUAGUACUUAGUGUUUAUACUAGUGUUUGAGUGAAUAGCUAAGAGAACAUAUUUGUGUACCCAGGGCCAGACUUUGGGGGAUGAUCUUAGAAUUCUGUCUACUCCAGGCAUACAAAUUAGAAAAAAAUCAUCCUUUCUAUGGGCUGAUACAGCCCAUCCAGAAUGGAGGACCUGGCCAGUGAAGAUCCAGCUGGAAAGAUUUGAUCUUCAUUUGCCCCAGCUGGACUACAAUUGCUAUCUUGAGCAUAACACGCCCCAAACCAAACUCAUUCAUCAUCCCAUGACAGAAACCAAUUAUAAAAAACAACUACAAAAACCUAUACUUGAAACGUUCCUUUUAAAUAAAUGACAUUUUUUGCAGGCUAACCACCUCAAAAUCAUCCCUGAAUGGGCUCUUAUAUCAUUUUCACAUUCAGUCUGUAAGCAAAUUCCAUGGACUCUACCUUCAGAAAUAUGUCAAGAAUCUAACCACUUCUCCGCUGGACCCAAACCACGGCCAUCUUAGCCUGGAUUACUGCACGAGACUUCUGAAAGGUUUUCUCGUUUCGACCCAUGCCUCUCUAUGGUCUUUUUCCCACACAGCAAACAGAGUUAACCUUUUAAUAAGUAUAUCACAUCUACUCAAGGCCUGCAAUAGUUUCCCACUCAGAGGAAAAGCCAAAAUCCUUACAAAGGCCUCCAUGGCCCUAGAUUUCUGUAACCUCAUUGCCGACCAUUCCUUCCCCAAUUCACUCUACUCUGCUCCUACUGGCCCUUGGGCUGUUCUCAAAUCCUCCAACUGCAAUCUUUCUUGAGGAUCUUUAUUCCUACUGACGCCCCUGCCUUAACCAUCUAUCCUGCCAGAUUACUGCAUAGCAUAUUCUCUCUCUUCAGGUCCUUGAUCAAAAGUCACCCUCUCUGUCACCUUCUAUCCUUCAUCCUGCUUUUUUUUUUUUUUUUAUCACCAUCAGAUAGAUAGCAAUUUGUUUGUCUGGUGUGUAUCCUCCAACCAGCCAGCUACCUGAGCUAUAUCCAUGAGGGUAGAGAGUUAUUUGUUUUGUUCACUGAUAGGUCCUUAGCGAUGUAACAGAGUAGGUGCUCAAUAGAUAUUCGGUGCAUAAGUAAAUACAUUUUAAUCUCCUCACAACUUUUUUUGAAAUCCCUGCGACUAAUGCAAUUAAGCAUUGGAAUCAGGUUGUCCUACUGUUCUAACAAAAAUACUAAAUGCAAACAAUGUAUCAGGUAAAAAGUAUUUGUAUUGCAGAACAUUUAAUGACGACAGUCUGCAUUUCAUUCUUCCUUUUACCAAAUAAGUAAAAGUAUUUUGAAACCCUCCACCAAACCAACUUUUGGGUUUUACUGACUCAGAACUGGUUCUGUUAUAGCCAUUACACCAAGAUUACUCAUAGCACAAAAAAUUAUUUUCGAUCUGGUAUUUGGUACAGAAGUUAGAGCAAUUAUCGAACUCGUUUUUACACAGAGCAGCAGGUCUCCUUUGGAAAACACGUUUUCCACUUAUCAGAAAACGACAUUUUGCCGAGAAAUUCGAACAUCAUGUCCCUAAUACCAAUUCUCCUCCCAAGGAGAAUUUGGAGCAGUCCCCUUCUUCGUGUCGAAAACCUCCAGAUUUGAGUUACUCAUCAAAAGAUUGAUCACGAUUAGCCAAAAUGCUUUGAGACUCAGAGCAUGAAAUCAUGAAUUCUAACUCCUCCUUCUAGAAUUUGAGACUCCUGAAAUUCACAUUGGUGUCUUGGCAGUCAAUUUAUGAUAUGCAUAAACAAGAGCUCAUUUUUCUGCAAUUUGAAUAUGGCCUUCAUGCCAAAAAAUUGUAGCAUCAAGUUUUGAAAGGCACUUUGGAACUAAAUUAAAUCUGUAAAAUUCUUGGUUCAAGCUUAAUGAAGUUACCAAAAGUGUCUCGCCUUUAAAACGUUUGGCAAUAAGUAAUUUUAAAAUUUCUCAUGUCCUGUGAUCUGUAAAUUUCACUUCUAGAACUUUAUCUUAAGGAAAUAGUUCUGUAAAUAGAAUUUAAAUGGAAAGUGGACGGGCUUUGUAAACAGACAAACCUGGAUUCCGAUUCUAGCACCAACAAUAAUACCAUAUGCCCUUGUAUAGCCUCCUCUGUCUCCUUUUUCUCCCCUGUAAGAUGCAAAUCACAUCGUCCGUCUUCCAGGAUUGUUGUGAGAAUUCGAGUUGUUGGAAAUACAAUCCCUUAGGCAGGUCGAUAUGUGAUAUAUGCACAAAUGGAAUACGAUUCAAUCAGGUAAAAGAACGAAGUAUUGAUACAUGUUACAGCCCGGAUGAACUUGAAAACAUUGUGCUAAGUGACAGACACAACAUUACAUAUUUAUGAUUCCAUUUAUAUGAAACAUCUAGAAUAGGCAAGUUGACAGAGACAGAAAACAGAUUAGUGGUUGCCAUGGGCUGAGAGGAGAAAGGAAUGGGGAGUGAUUGCUUAAUGGGCAUGGGAUUGCCUUCUGGGGUUUUAAAAAGGUUCUAGAACUAGACAGUAGUUGUGGCUGCACAACAUUAUGAAUGUGCUUCAGGCCACUGAGUCAUACACUUUAAGAUGUUAAAAUGGUAAAUUUCAUGUUAUGUGAAUUUUACCACAGUAAGAAAAAUGUGACCUGAAAGAAAAUAAAUUGCAAAAUUGUGCUUACAGUAAAAUUGGAUUUAUAGUCCUCUGUACCUACACACACACACACACACACACACACACACACACACAGGAAUUUAUACAACAAAAUAUUAGUGGUGGUUAUUUCUGACAUCACAGUUUGUUUUUUUAAAGUAGUCUUUGGUAGGGGCACCUGGGUGGUUCAGUUGGUUAAGUGUCCCACUUCGGCUCAGGUCAUGAUCUCACCGUCCA